AAAAUUAUUACUGAGAAUCCGUGAUCAUGAAGGCGGGUUCUCCAGGGGGUUGGUUUUGCUGACCCCCUGCGAAUAUCCUUCGCGAACAAAAGGAUACUUCGAGUAAUAACAAUUUUUGAUAGUUCGGGACUACUAAAAUUGCUGUAGUCCCGCA
rnacentral:snRNA from 1 species